GACGUAGGGCGCGAGCGUUGUCCGGAUUUAUUGGGCGUAAAGAGCUCGUAGGCGGUGUGUCGCGUCGGCCGUGAAAACCUGCAGCUUAACUGUGGGCGUGCGGUCGAUACGGGCAUCACUGGAGUUCGGCAGGGGAGACUGGAAUUCCUGGCGUAGCGGUGAAAUGCGCAGAUAUCAGGAGGAACACCGGUGGCGAAGGCGGGUCUCUGGGCCGAUACUGACGCUGAGGAGCGAAAGCGUGGGGAGCGAACAGG
rnacentral:rRNA from 1 species